rnacentral:lncRNA from 1 species
CAUAGGACACCCAUUAUGGCCCAGAGGGCCCCCAUUCCGCCCCAUAGAGCCCCAUAGAACACCCUAGGACCCCCUUCUGCCCCAUUAGGCCCCAUAGAACUCCCAUCCCGCCCCAUAGGUCACCCAUCCCGCCCCAUAGAGCCCCAUUGCGCCCCAUAGAGCCCCAUAGAACCCCAUAGGUCACCCAUCCCGCCCCAUAGAGCCCCACAGAACCCCAUAGGACACCCAUUCCGCCCCAUAGGACACCCAGUAUGACCCAUAGGGCCCCCAUUCCGCCCCAUAGAGCCCCAUAGAGCCCCAUAGGUCACCCAUCCCGCCCCAUAGAGCCCCAUUGCGCCCCAUAGAGCCCCAUAGAGCCCCAUAGAUCACCCAUCCCGCCCCAUAGAGCCCCAUUGCGCCCCAUAGAGCCCCAUAGAGCCCCAUAGGUCACCCAUCCCGCCCCAUAGAGCCCCAUAGAACCCCAUAGGACACCCGUUCCGCCCCAUAGGACACCCAUCCCGCCCCAUAGAGCCACAUUAGGCCCCAUAGGACAACCAUUAG